AGAUACUGACAGCCAGUAUUUGAAUAGGAACCUGUUUGUUUCGGGUGAUCAGGAUUAAUUGUUAAUAUUCUCUUGGAGGGAACUGGGACAACCUCAGCUGACAAGCCUUUGAUUUGGAUGUCAUGGCUGGAACUCAUCAACAAGCUGAAAGCAUUCAUCUGGGAACACUUUACACUUCUUACGAGCAUGUCCGAGGAAGUGGGGGCUGAGACUUCACCUUGUAGAAACUCUUGCAGAAUUUUGAUUAAAAGCAGUCUCUGUUCAUAGUGAGAAAAUCUGGAUUUGAAUUCUGAUCCCACCACAUGCGAGCUCCUUGACCUUAGAUAAGUUAACCUGUGUCUCAGUUUCCACCUCUGUUAUCAGGGAUAAAAUUAGUACCUACCCCCUGGAUUGCUGUGAGGAUUUAGAUAAGAAAAUACACAUGAAUAACUUAGCACAGUGCCUGGGCACAUAGUUAAAGAUCAAUAAACAUUAGUAUUACCAUUGUCAUAAUUAUUAUAAUGAUAUCUAUCAUAUAUAUUAUUCCCAAAAUGCAACUUUCAUAAAGUGCCUCUAGGCUAGCAGAUGAAAUCAUGGCAUCUUUUUAGCUGGAAGGGUCCUGAAAGAUCAUCCAGUCAUUGCUUCUCAUUAAAAUCACCCAGAGAAACUUUUAAAACAAACGCUAAUACCUCAUUGUAGCCAGACAAAAUAAUACUUACUGUAUGAAUCCUUUUUUUUUUUUUUUGAGAUGGAGUCUUGGACUGUCACCCAGGCUGGAGUGCAGUGCCAUGAUCUCCGCUCACCGCAACCUCUGCCUCC
rnacentral:lncRNA from 1 species